GAUGGAUAUAUGCAGGGAUGGUGCAGAUAGGUGAUGAAUACAGAGUCUGCUAGGCCUGUGUCUGCAAAUAAAAUGAAGGUGAGCAGGAUCGUCCAUCAGAAACUUGGACUCAGCCUCAGGAGAGCUAAGUUUAUUCAAGAAAAUAAGCAGGAGCCUUGUUCUUAUCCUCAUAACAAGAGUGCUAAUCUGAAUAAUUAAUCAAAAAACUGUGAAGGAACUCCUCUGUUAAAAUGCCAGAGAGUAAAGGACACAUGUUGAAGGAGAAGAGAAGUAUCAGGAGAAAAGAGAAGAUGAGCAUGAACUGAAUCUGCUUCUAUAUUCCAAUAAAGACAAGGAUACUGGAGAGGAAGAAUGAUAAAGAACAACCAAACUCUCUUCAGCCAGUUCCUCCUCCUGGGCCUGCCGAUCCCUGCAGAGCACCAGCAACUGUUCUUUGCCCUGUUCCUGUCCAUGUACCUCACCACCAUCCUGGGGAAACUCAUCAUCAUCAUCCUCAUUCGACUGGACUCCCAUCUCCACACACCCAUGUACUUGUUUCUCAGCAACUUGUCAUUCUCUGAUCUCUGCUUUUCCUCUGUCACAAUGCCCAAGUUGCUGCAGAACAUGCAGAGCCAGGACACAUCCAUCACCUAUGUAGGUUGCCUGACACAAAUGUACUUUUUUUGAUUUUUUUUGGAGGCCUGGAAAUCUUCCUCCUUGUGGUCAUGGCCUAUGACCGCUAUGUGGCCAUCUGCCUUCCCCUUCACUACACCAGCAUCAUGAGUCUCAAGUUCUGUGUGUGUGCAGUGCUGAUUUCCUGGGUAUUUAACUUGCUGUAUUCCAUGUUGCACACUCUACUCUUGGCUAGGUUGUCAUUCUGUGAGGACAACAUAAUCUGCCACUUUUUCUGUGACAUGUCUGCCCUGCUCAAGUUGGCCUGCUCUGAUAUUUAUAUAAAUGAACUUAUGAUAUUUAUCUUGGGAGGGCCCCUUGUGGUCAUUCCGUUCUUACUCAUUGUUGUGUCCUAUGUACAAAUUAUCUUCUCUAUUCUAAAGGCUUCAUCUACUCGGGCCAUCUACAAGGUCUUCUCUACCUGUGGCUCCUACCUGACUGUGGUGUCACUAUUCUAUGGGACAGUUAUUGGUCUCUACUUUUGUCCAUCAGAAAAUAACUUUACAGCAAAGGAGGCUUCUAUUACUAUGAUGUACACAGUGGUGACUCCCAUGCUAAACCCUUUCAUCUACAGCCUGAGGAACAGAGAUAUAAAGGAGGCCCUUAUAAAAGUUCUUAUCAAGAAAAUAC
rnacentral:lncRNA from 1 species